CAUACAUACCCCAUACUUGUUUAUCAUUUACUAGGCCAUGUUCACUCUUUUAUCACCACUCCUUCAAGAGCAAACACCCACCACACAGACACAAUACACACAUGAAGAAAAGGAAGACAACAGGGGAGGGAGUUCAAGAGAGCAAGCGAGAGAGAUCGAAUGAGAGAGGAAGAGAUGUGGCAAAGAGGGGAAGGAGGAGGCCGCUAAUGUAACUUUAAAGAGUUUUAUGGAAUUAAUGAAGUGUCACAGGUUUGAGGACUCAGUAUGAAGCUACAGACGAAUAAUGAAACUUGUAUAUGAAAUCAAGUUUCUUUCAUAGAGUCUCCUCACUCUUGUUGCAUAAGAUUCCAUUUUAUAUAGAGGGGUAGGUGUUGUACAUGAGUUUCAUUUGAUUUCACUUGUAUAACAUUUAUUAUUAUUAGUAUUUAUGUGAUUAUUAUUA